AGAGUUUGAUCCUGGCUCAGGAUGAACGCUAGCGGCAGGCCUAACACAUGCAAGUCGAGGGAGAAGCCCUUUCGGGGGCAGAAACCGGCGCACGGGUGCGUAACGCGUAUGCAACCUACCUUUCACAGGGGGAUAGCCCGAAGAAAUUUGGAUUAAUACCCCAUAAUAUUAUUGGAUGGCAUCAUUUGAUAAUUAAAACUGCGGUGGUGAAAGAUGGGCAUGCGUCCUAUUAGCUAGUUGGAGUGGUAACGGCACCCCAAGGCUACGAUAGGUAGGGGUCCUGAGAGGGAGAUCCCCCACACUGGUACUGAGACAGGGACCAGACUCCUACGGGAGGCAGCAGUGAGGAAUAUUGGUCAAUGGUCGGAAGACUGAACCAGCCAUGCCGCGUGCAGGAAGAAUGCCUUAUGGGUUGUAAACUGCUUUUAUAUGGGAAGAAUAAGGCGUACGAGUACGUUGAUGACGGUACCAUAUGAAUAAGCAUCGGCUAACUCCGUGCCAGCAGCCGCGGUAAUACGGAGGAUGCGAGCGUUAUUCGGAAUCAUUGGGUUUAAAGGGUCUGUAGGCGGGCUAUUAAGUCAGGGGUGAAAGGUUUCAGCUUAACUGAGAAAUUGCCUUUGAUACUGGUAGUCUUGAAUAUCUGUGAAGUUCUUGGAAUGUGUAGUGUAGCGGUGAAAUGCUUAGAUAUUACACAGAACACCGAUUGCGAAGGCAGGGGACUAACAGACAAUUGACGCUGAGAGACGAAAGCGUGGGGAGCGAACAGGAUUAGAUACCCUGGUAGUCCACGCU
rnacentral:rRNA from 1 species